rnacentral:rRNA from 1 species
GCAAGUCGAGGGGCAGCAUGAGUACUUAUACUUGAUGGCGACCGGCGCACGGGUGCCGAACGCGUAUGCAACCUACCCUUUACUGGAGGAUAGCCCGGGGAAACUCGGAUUAAUACUCCAUAGUACUAUAAAGUCACAUGAUUUAAUAGUUAAAGAUUUAUUGGUAAAGGAUGGGCAUGCGUAUCAUUAGUUAGUUGGUGAGGUAACGGCUCACCAAGACUUCGAUGCGUAGGGGGCCUGAGAGGGUGAUC